rnacentral:rRNA from 1 species
GCUCGUAGGUGGUUUGUCGCGUUGUUCGUGAAAACUCACAGCUCAACUGUGGGCGUGCGGGCGAUACGGGCAGACUGGAGUACUGCAGGGGAGACUGGAAUUCCUGGUGUAGCGGUGGAAUGCGCAGAUAUCAGGAGGAACACCGGUGGCGAAGGCGGGUCUCUGGGCAGUAACUGACGCUGAGGAGCGAAAGCGUGGGGAGCGAACAGGAUUAGAUACCCUGGUAGUCCACGCCGUAAACGGUGGGUACUAGGUGUGGGUUUCCUUCCUUGGGAUCCGUGCCGUAGCUAACGCAUUAAGUACCCCGCCUGGGGAGUACGGCCGCAAGGCUAAAACUCAAAGAAAUUGACGGGGGCCCGCACAAGCGGUGGAGCAUGUGGUUCAAUUCGAAGCAACGCGAAGAACCUUACCAGCCCUUGACAUCCCGGUCGCGGGAACGAGAGAUCGAUCCCUUCAGUUCGGCUGGACCGGAGACAGGUGCUGCAUGGCUGUCGUCAGCUCGUGUCGUGAGAUGUUGGGUUAAGUCCCGCAACGAGCGCAACCCUCGCCCUUAGUU